rnacentral:lncRNA from 1 species
UUCUCCAACAAAAGUAAGUAUCCUCAUCACCCUCAAUUCGGGUUAAGCCACAAUGACCCCAUUUUGUUAUGAUCGUUGUCAACAAGCUAUUGAGUGUGGCAUCCAACAACGUCUUUAUGCCGUUUAGUGAUCGUUUCCAUCAAGCUAUUGAGUGUGGCGGGCCUCCAACCACGUCUUUAUGCCGUUUAGUGAUUGUUUAAAAAAUUGAGAAACUUGUCUUAUCUUGGUAAGCACUAUUCCUUUACUUUUAGAAAGAAAACAUAAGUAAAGGUGUUUUGCAUUAUGUUUUGAGGAAGAUUAAUCAUAGUUAUAAAACAUAGCUAGCUGAAAAAAAUUGUUUUUCUAACCGUAAUAAUCCUUUAUUGAAAAGGUUAUACUCUUCUUUAUGAUGGAAUCAAGUUAUACUCUUCUUUAUGAUGGAAUCAAGUAAAACAUAGUUAACGACUUAACACGCUACAUACAUGGUCUCCGAGAAGGUUAGAGAUAAAUAGGAAGUGCUGGAUUUGCAAAGGCAUAUUCGAGUUCAAAGAAAUGGAAAAAAGUUGUUUACACAGUAGUUCAGACCGUUGCAUGGUGUAUUUGGAGGGCCUAUAAUGAUUUAGUGUUUAAUCAAAAACGCCCAAACACUAAGAGG